UACGGAGGGGGCUAGCGUUGUUCGGAAUUACUGGGCGUAAAGCGCACGUAGGCGGACCAGUAAGUUGGGGGUGAAAUCCCGGGGCUCAACCCCGGAACUGCCUCCGAAACUGCUGGUCUGGAGGUCGAGAGAGGCGAGUGGAAUUCCGAGUGUAGAGGUGAAAUUCGUAGAUAUUCGGAGGAACACCGGUGGCGAAGGCGGCUCGCUGGCUCGAUACUGACGCUGAGGUGCGAAAGCGUGGGGAGCAAACAGG
rnacentral:rRNA from 1 species